GGAAAACAAACGAAGACGUUGUGAGCUAGCUCUCCUGGCAAGCUUUCUGUUUCGCAGCGAAAAACUAAGUAUAAAAAAAGAAUAUGGUUGAUGUUCUUUUCGGGUGCUCUGCUUUUGUGCCAUGUUUGUGGAAGCCAAAUUUCAACUAUAGAAGCACACAACAUCUGGAUUCACUCCAUUCCAAUAGCUAAAGGAUGAACACUGGAAGAUAUGCUUAUCUCUGGGAAUUUGGGGGUGGCGUUUACCACUCAGGGACAUAAAUCAUUGGUCGGACAGCAAACAAAGAGGGCUAUCUCUCGCUCUCUCUCUCCACACUCCUUUCAACCAAGUGAUUAAUGGAACAUAAAACACAUUCAUCAUCACUAAUGUCGUUUUCCUUAAGACGCAAUUUGUGCUGACCCAGUAAGGAAAAAUAAAAAAGAAGAAAAAAUAAAGAGGUUGAGACCACAUCAUCAGCCAGAAUCAACAAUCAAAUACAAACAACCACCGGUGCAUGUUCAUGAUAUGUAGGGGGUAUCUCUUUCAUCCAUCCAUUAAACAGUUAUUAGCGCUGGUAUCGGUUGAUCAUCUCAACAAUUUUCAGCGUCCAUUGCAGAACUCAUUACAUCCGCACAGUAGGACAUUCAGGUGCACGCUUGACAUCUGGACAUGCUUUGUUGCUUUGACAGAGAGGAGGGAUGAUUACUGUAGCCCAGAGUAUUUGAAAAAUAUGAAACAGACAGGAUUCACAGCUCUCCUCUGUUCUUGUGUGUGCAUGUGCAUACUGUGGCAUAGUUUCUGCCUUUUUUGCUCCUUCUAUGCCUCUCAAAGGGAAGUUAUAACUAGGCUGUCAUGGAAAGGACUGCACUAUCCAUUAACCUCUGGCCUCGUGCCCCCCGCUGCUGAUGGAAGACAUAACCUGCAUUACAGGGGUCACUUCCAGCUGCUGACACUCACUCUCUCGCACACAAGGUGUCCACUCUAGGUUUCUGUGCUCUUUCACUAGGUCGGAACUCUCUAACAAAGAAGACCCGUGAGCCCACCUAUAGAGAGACUAAGAUAGUUUUCAGCUCUCAAACACUCUACCUGCUACCUGAUCCUUAGCAGCUCCAAAUGGAAUGGAAAAAUAACUAGUUGUACACAAUCAGAUCAGAAAUCUGUAAACCAGCAAAUUGAUGUUAGAUUAAAAACCAAUCACAUUAUGCAAAUAUUAGAAUAGGUCAGUGCAAUCUGUUACAUUUUGAAUGUUUGCAUUAUUGCACAUCUUUGUAGUUAUAUAUUUUUAAUAAAGGUUUUUAGACAGCCUAAAAAUUACAAAAGAAUUAAAGAACAGUAAAUAGCUAAAAAAAGCAAGAAAUAUACACUACUUUUCUAAAUUAAUAAGAUAAAAAAAUGAAUGCUUUUAUUCAGCAAGGAUGCACAAAAUUUAUCAAAAGUGAUAAAGAAGGCAUUUACAAUGCCACAAAAUAUUUAUUUUUCAAAUAUUGACUACUGACUUCAUAUUAAAAAUCAGAACAACUGUUUUAUGCAUUUAUUGAGCACCAAAUAACCAUAUUAGAACGAUUUCUGAAGGAUUGUGUAAAACUGAAUACAUAUGGAUGAUGAAAAUUGCCAUCACAGGAAUUUACAUUUUAAAAUAUAUUA